rnacentral:rRNA from 1 species
GAACUUAAGCAUAUCAAUAAGCGGAGGAAAAGAAACUAACAAGGAUUCCCCUAGUAACUGCGAGUGAAGCGGGAAGAGCUCAAAUUUAAAAUCUGACGUGCCUCUGGUCGUCCGAGUUGUAGUCUGGAGAAGCGUUUUCCGUGUUGGACCGUGUAUAAGUCUCUUGGAACAGGGCGUCAUAGAGGGUGAGAAUCCCGUCUUUGACACGGACUACCAAUGCUUUGUGAUGCGCUCUCAAAGAGUCGAGUUGUUUGGGAAUGCAGCUCAAAAUGGGUGGUAAAUUCCAUCUAAAGCUAAAUAUAGGCGAGAGACCGAUAGCGAACAAGUACCGUGAGGGAAAGAUGAAAAGCACUUUGGAAAGAGAGUUAAACAGUACGUGAAAUUGCUGAAAGGGAAACGCUUGAAGUCAGUCAUGUCUGCCAGGACUCAGCCUUGCUUCUGCUUGGUGUACUUUCUGGUCGGAUGGGCCAACAUCAAUUUUGACCGUUGGAGAAAGGCUUUGGGAAUGUGGCACCUUCGGGUGUGUUAUAGCCCUUUGUUGUAUACAACGGUUGGGAUUGAGGACUGCAGCACGCCUUUAUGGCCGGGGUAUUUGCCUACGUACGUGCUUAGGAUGUUGGCAUAAUGGCUUUAAGCGACCCGUCUUGAAACACGGACCAAGGAGUCUAACAUGCCUGCGAGUGUUUGGGUGGAAAACCCAUGCGCGUAAUGAAAGUGACAGCUGAGAUCCUCUCAUCAGGAGCACCAGCGCCUGGACUUGAUCUACGGAGACGGUUCUACGGUAGAGCAUGUAUGUUGGGACCCGAAA